UACGAAGGGUGCAAGCGUUACUCGGAAUUACUGGGCGUAAAGCGUGCGUAGGUGGUUUGUUAAGUCUGUUGUGAAAGCCCCGGGCUCAACCUGGGAAUGGCAAUGGAUACUGGCAGGCUAGAGUGCGGUAGAGGGUAGUGGAAUUCCCGGUGUAGCGGUGAAAUGCGUAGAGAUCGGGAGGAACACCAGUGGCGAAGGCGGCCUUCUGGACCAAUACUGACGCUCAUGCACGAAAGCGUGGGGAGCAAACAGG
rnacentral:rRNA from 1 species